rnacentral:rRNA from 1 species
CCUACGGGUGGCAGCAGUAGGGAAUCUUGCACAAUGGGGGAAACCCUGAAGCAGCAACGCCGCGUGGAGGAUGAAGGGUUUAGGAUUGUAAACUCCUUUUGUGAGAGAAGAUAAUGACGGUAAGUCACGAAUAAGCACCGGCUAACUCCUUGCCAGCAGGCGCGGUAAUACGGAGGGUGCAAGCGUUACUCGGAAUGACUGGGCGUAAAGAGUGCGCAGGCGGGCUUGUAAGUCAGAUGUGAAAUCCUGUAGCUUAACUACAGAACUGCAUUUGAAACUAUGAGUCUUGAGUGUGGGAGAGGUAGGUGGAAUUCCUGGUGUAGGGGUAAAAUCCGUAGAUAUCAAGAGGAAUACUCAUUGCGAAGGCGACCCUCUGGAACAUUACUGACGCUCAUGCUCGAAAGCGUGGGGAGCGAACAGGAUUAGAUACCCUAGUAGUC